GCUUCGUUGUUCUUGGAACAAUUCGAAAGAAAAACCAAUGAAAGGCUUAUAUAAUUGUAAUCUGUCAAUUAAUUAUUCUUCUUCGGAAAACAACAGCAUAUUCAGUUCGUUUAGUUUUUUUAACAGAUAUAAAUGUUUUGAGUUUUCCUUUUCAAUAACUACAACUAUUUAAGACAAACAAUUUCAAAAGUCAAAACACAAACGCUUUUAAUUUUUUCACCAAACCUUAUAACAUUAUGUCUAGAACAGCAUUUAUUAAGCACUGAAGUAAUUAAAUUUGGUUUCACUCACCGUUAAAGACGUUAUUAAAAAACCAAGUUGAUAUAAAAUCGAAUUUAGGCGAAAGCGAAAGAUGCGCUGUACUUCGGACGAAUCGUUGCGAAAAAAGCGAGCGGGAUCCUUUUUUUAGUCCCUUAUAUAUUUCUUGAUGUCUUCAUGGUGGUGUGAUCGUGGUGAUUUUGUAUUUGUGUGCGUGUUGGUGUACGGUGUAGUGAUGUGGAAUGUAUGAAAAAAACAUAAUACGUCUAAGCGAUUGGCUCUAGAUAAAUCCAAACAGUCAACUAAGCCCACUAUGGAAAGAACACUUCUAACACCUAAAAUAACCGGACGAGUAUCAAUUGAAUAACAUGCUUUGAUUUCCUGGCAAAAAAUACUCCUAACAUCGUAUGCACAUCUAUGGAUUGAUCUACUCGCGGUUCAUAUAAUGAAGUAAAAUCCUUAAAUGACAGAAUGAAUCUGAAUGGAGAAGAUGAGAGUACAUACCUCUUACCUAAAUAUUUUAAAUCGAAAAUCCAUUUAAGGUACAUCCAACCAACUAAUCUUCUCAAGCCACCACUACAUCAAAGUGAACUUGUUUACAGAAACACAAGCGAACCGUUCCCACUAGUAGACGUAUGAAUGCGUACUGCGAUAAUCCUUUCAAAGCCGAAAAACUGCAUUUAACGCAGUAAUAAUUCAGCACCAGACGCCAUUCAUCAUCACGUCAAACCGCCUCCGCCUCUCCCUCCGCAUCGCUUCAAUGCGAGCUGAACCAAGCCAUUAUUGGUCAUCUGCUGCACUCAGUUGCCCAAGCCGACGCAAUACUCAGACAAAUGCCGAGCUUAAAUAGAAGAACUCAGCUUAAAUGUGUUGGUCAUGUUGCAAGGAAAUUCACUGCCGAGGUGUAUAAUAUGUGAGAAGAAAUAUUCAACUGCAAUGCGGAGUAAUGUUGAGCAUCAUGAAAAGCGCAUUUUCAUAGACAACUGCGCUGAAGACAUUAAUUUGAUUUUCGAAUAAAUGAGUGAAAUAUUCGCAAUUCGCUCGAAAGUAGGUCAGGUAAUACUAAUAACGUUCGUGGAAAUAACAAAAAAUUUCCAGACACAGCAUUCAGUAAUAUCCAUAUAUUUAAAUUAGUUUAAUAAUUGGCAGAAGCACUGAACCAUUUUCUUUAAAUUUUAUAGUAUACCAGUAUAAUCCAAGAAAAUAAACGGUAUUAACAGUACUAAAUAUAAU